rnacentral:rRNA from 1 species
GUUGGGUAGGGGAGCGUUCUGUAAGCCUGCGAAGGUGUACUGUGAGGUAUGCUGGAGGUAUCAGAAGUGCGAAUGCUGACAUAAGUAACGAUAAUGCGGGUGAAAAACCCGCACGCCGGAAGACCAAGGGUUCCUGUCCAACGUUAAUCGGGGCAGGGUGAGUCGACCCCUAAGGCGAGGCUGAAAAGCGUAGUCGAUGGGAAACGGGUUAAUAUUCCCGUACUGGUGGUAACUGCGAUGGGGGAACGGAGAAGGCUAGGUUGUCCGGGCGACGGUCGUCCCGGUUCAAGCAGGUAGGCAGAGUGAUUAGGCAAAUCCGGUCACUUAAUGCUGAGAUGUGAUGACGAGCCACCAAGGUGGUGAAGCAAUUGAUGCCCCGCUUCCAGGAAAAGCCUCUAAGCUUCAGGUUACCAACAAUCGUACCCCAAACCGACACAGGUGGUCAGGUAGAGAAUACUCAGGCGCUUGAGAGAACUCGGGUGAAGGAACUAGGCAAAAUGGUGCCGUAACUUCGGGAGAAGGCACGCUGGCGGUAGGUAAAGUCCCUCGCGGACGGCGCUGAAGCCAGUCGAAGAUACCAGCUGGCUGCAACUGUUUAUUAAAAACACAGCACUGUGCAAACACGAAAGUGGACGUAUACGGUGUGACGCCUGCCCGGUGCUGGAAGGUUAAUUGAUGGGGUUAGCGCAAGCGAAGCUCCUGAUCGAAGCCCCAGUAAACGGCGGCCGUAACUAUAACGGUCCUAAGGUAGCGAAAUUCCUUGUCGGGUAAGUUCCGACCUGCACGAAUGGCGUAAUGAUGGCCAGGCUGUCUCCACCCGAGACUCAGUGAAAUUGAACUCGCUGUGAAGAUGCAGUGUACCCGCGGCAAGACGGAAAGACCCCGUGAACCUUUACUAUAGCUUGACACUGAACAUUGAGCCUUGAUGUGUAGGAUAGGUGGGAGGCUUUGAAGUGUGGACGCCAGUCUGCAUGGAGCCAACCUUGAAAUACCACCCUUUAACGUUUGAUGUUCUAACCUAGGCCCAUAAACUGGGUCGGGGACCGUGUCUGGUGGGUAGUUUGACUGGGGCGGUCUCCUCCUAAAGAGUAACGGAGGAGCACGAAGGUUGGCUAAGCAUGGUCGGACAUCAUGCGGUUAGUGCAAAGGCAUAAGCCAGCUUGACUGCGAGAGUGACGGCUCGAGCAGGUACGAAAGUAGGUCUUAGUGAUCCGGUGGUUCUGAAUGGAAGGGCCAUCGCUCAACGGAUAAAAGGUACUCCGGGGAUAACAGGCUGAUACCGCCCAAGAGUUCAUAUCGACGGCGGUGUUUGGCACCUCGAUGUCGGCUCAUCACAUCCUGGGGCUGAAGUAGGUCCCAAGGGUAUGGCUGUUCGCCAUUUAAAGUGGUACGCGAGCUGGGUUUAGAACGUCGUGAGACAGUUCGGUCCCUAUCUGCCGUGGGCGUUGGAAGAUUGAGAGGGGUUGCUCCUAGUACGAGAGGACCGGAGUGAACGCACCACUGGUGUUCGGGUUGUCAUGCCAAUGGCAUUGCCCGGUAGCUAAGUGCGGAAGAGAUAACCGCUGAAAGCAUCUAAGCGGGAAACUUGCCUCGAGAUGAGUCUUCCCUGUCGCUUUAAGCGACCUAAAGGAACGUUUAAGACUAAGACGUUGAUAGGCUGGGUGUGUAAGCGUAGCGAUACGUUGAGCUAACCA